rnacentral:rRNA from 1 species
GUCGAGUCGGCCUGCGCGGAAGAUGUAACGGGGCUAAGUAGUAAACCGAAGCUGCGGCAAUAUACUUUUGUAUAUUGGGUAGGGGAGCGUUCUGUAAGCGGUUGAAGGUGUGUGGUAACGCAUGCUGGACGUAUCAGAAGUGCGAAUGCUGACAUGAGUAACGAUAAAGGGGGUGAAAAACCUCCUCGCCGGAAGACCAAGGGUUCCUGUCCAACGUUAAUCGGGGCAGGGUAAGUCGACCCCUAAGGCGAGGCCGAAAGGCGUAGUCGAUGGGAAACGGGUUAAUAUUCCCGUACUUCUUACAAUUGCGAUGGGGGGACGGAGAAGGCUAGGUGGGCCUGGCGACGGUUGUCCAGGUUCAAGUGCGUAGGCUUAAGAGUUAGGUAAAUCCGGCUCUUUCUAAGGCUGAGACACGACGUCGAGCACCUACGGGUGUGAAGUCAUUGAUGCCAUGCUUCCAGGAAAAGCCUCUAAGCUUCAGAUUGUAAGGAAUCGUACCCCAAACCGACACAGGUGGUCGGGUAGAGAAUACCAAGGCGCUUGAGAGAACUCGGGUGAAGGAACUAGGCAAAAUGGUACCGUAACUUCGGGAGAAGGUACGCUCUCGACGGUGAAGUCCCUUGCGGAUGGAGCUAUUGAGAGUCGCAGAUACCAGGUGGCUGCAACUGUUUAUUAAAAACACAGCACUGUGCAAAAUCGUAAGAUGACGUAUACGGUGUGACGCCUGCCCGGUGCCGGAAGGUUAAUUGAUGGGGUUAGACUUCGGUCGAAGCUCUUGAUCGAAGCCCCGGUAAACGGCGGCCGUAACUAUAACGGUCCUAAGGUAGCGAAAUUCCUUGUCGGGUAAGUUCCGACCUGCACGAAUGGCGUAAUGAUGGCCACGCUGUCUCCACCCGAGACUCAGUGAAAUUGAAAUCGCUGUGAAGAUGCAGUGUACCCGCGGCUAGACGGAAAGACCCCGUGAACCUUUACUACAGCUUGGCACUGAACAUUGACCCUACAUGUGUAGGAUAGGUGGGAGGCUUUGAAGCACGUACGCCAGUAUGUGUGGAGCCGUCCUUGAAAUACCACCCUUGUAGUGUUGAUGUUCUAACGUCGACCCCUAAUCGGGGUUGCGGACAGUGCCUGGUGGGUAGUUUGACUGGGGCGGUCUCCUCCCAAAGAGUAACGGAGGAGCACGAAGGUGGGCUAAUCACGGUUGGACAUCGUGAGGUUAGUGCAAUGGCAUAAGCCCGCUUGACUGCGAGAAUGACAAUUCGAGCAGGUGCGAAAGCAGGUCAUAGUGAUCCGGUGGUUCUGAAUGGAAGGGCCAUCGCUCAACGGAUAAAAGGUACUCCGGGGAUAACAGGCUGAUACCGCCCAAGAGUUCAUAUCGACGGCGGUGUUUGGCACCUCGAUGUCGGCUCAUCACAUCCUGGGGCUGAAGUCGGUCCCAAGGGUAUGGCUGUUCGCCAUUUAAAGUGGUACGCGAGCUGGGUUUAGAACGUCGUGAGACAGUUCGGUCCCUAUCUGCCGUGGGCGUUGGAAGAUUGAAGGGGGCUGCUCCUAGUACGAGAGGACCGGAGUGGACGAACCUCUGGUGUUCGGGUUGUGUCGCCAGACGCAUUGCCCGGUAGCUAAGUUCGGAAUCGAUAACCGCUGAAAGCAUCUAAGCGGGAAGCGAGCCCUGAGAUGAGUCUUCCCUGAUACUUUAAGUAUCCUAAAGGGUUGUCGGAGACUACGACGUUGAUAGGUCAGGUGUGUAAGUGCUGUGAGGCAUUGAGCUAACUGAUACUAAUUGCCCGUGAGGCUUAACCAUACAACACCCAAGGGGUUU